CCACACAAGCCGGUGUUGCAGGGACAAAAUUUGCAUUGAAAACAAUGGUCGAGCCACACAACACUGUCCAGCAGUGGCAGCCGCGAUGUGUCAGUCAGCUACAGUAUUGGCAGAGGACAAGGAGGGGGAGCAAGGUCCCAAUGAAAGGGCUGCAUAUAUCAACAGAGUGAGAUACCUUCAUUGGGAGCACGAAGCCACAUCAUGCUCCACAGUGAUGGGAACCAAUUCAUUAAUGUGGCUUUCACAUAAGUAGAUUACCUGUUUGGCUCGGGAACAGGAUGACAAAAAUACAGAGCUAGAAAAACAAAUUUUGGCAUCAGCGUGGAGCCUGAGAGAAGCCGAGGUGGAAGUAAGCACCAGCCACCCCAGCUGAGAGACCCUCCAAUCAAGAUGAGGAAAAUCCCAUCCAGAGAGAGAGAGAUAAAGAGAAGGGGAAGAUGCUGACAUGUCUACAGGCAACAGCAGAGAGUCCUGGUGUCAACAUGAGAGAGGGAGAAUGGAACGCCACUGAGAAGCGCGGGCGGCACACAGGUGUCAGCGAACACUUCCGCCCCAGGGCCAAUGGCGGAGUGAUGCUUACGAGACAAGGCAGAGGCGUAUAAACCUCGUCACGCGCCACAGGGGCCGCUGUUACAGUGUCGACACUCUCUCUACCUUGCCUUCCUUCUUUCUUCAUACAUUGCCUCACAGAGUGGCAGUGGACACGCAGGGAGAUACAAUUUGUGGCAUCACUGGGUGCAAGUCUCUGCUAAAGAGUCUUCUGAUGGAUGUGUAGAUGUGUUCCUUUCAUAUUCAGAUGGAAGGUCUUGAACAACAACAAAAGCAGACAAGAGUCAUUUGACUGUAAUGCUCACUAGCAAUCAUCAUAGUGUGUGUGAAUACCCAUAAAUAUGUACUUGUAAAUGUG